rnacentral:rRNA from 1 species
AGCGAACGCUGGCGGCAUGCUUAACACAUGCAAGUCGCACGGCCGGGGUAACGUCGCAGUGGCGGACGGGUGAGUAACGCGUAGGUAUCUAUCCUUGGGUGGGGGACGAACCGUAGGGAAACGUAACGGCUAAUACCGCAUGACGACUGAGGUCCAAAAGCAGCAAUGCGCCUGAGGAGGAGCCUGCGUACGAUUAGCUUGUUGGUGGGGUAAAGGCCUACCAAGGCUCCGAUCGUUAGCNGGUC